GCCUUCAAUUGGAGGGGUUUUCUCCCCCCGUGAGAAAGUUUUUGAGGAUGAAUAUUCUAUAAUUGACGGUUUAACCUGAUAUGGAUACUGAACAGCAGCCUCAUAGGGAAGAAUGGCAUCACACUGAACCAAAGGGCUGAAUCUAUACUUAUCCUUCAGAGCAUGAAAACCAGCUGGCCUCAGUCUUUUGCUAGGAACCCUACUGGCUAAUUCACAAGAUGGGGUGGAAGAAGGUUCCAGCAGUGAUGAGACGAGCUGGCUUGCUUGAUGAAUUGAGAGCACUCGGCUAAACAUUAAGGAUGUGCUCCGCUUCUCCUCGGACCGGAGAAGCAGGAGCGGAUCGGGGGGCUUCGCCUCCACUUAAGGUGGAGGCGAAGAGGAUCGGGGGAGCCGUGGAGCAUUGUGGAGCUGAUGAAG